rnacentral:rRNA from 1 species
CGUCAGCUCGUGUCGUGAGAUGUCUGGUUAAGUCCGAUAACGAGCGCAACCCUUGUCUCUAGUUGCCAGCGAGUAAUGUCGGGAACUCUAGAGAGACUGCCGGUGUCAAACCGGAGGAAGGUGGGGAUGACGUCAAGUCCUCAUGGCCUUUAUGUCCAGGGCUGCACACGUGCUACAAUGGCGUAUACAGAGGGACGCAAAAUCGCAAGAUCAAGCAAAUCCCAAAAAGUACGCCCCAGUUCAGAUUGCAGGCUGCAACUCGCCUGCAUGAAGUUGGAAUCGCUAGUAAUCGCGGGUCAGCAACACCGCGGUGAAUGUGUUCCUGAGCCUUGUACACACCGCCCGUCAAGCCACGAAAGGGAGGGGCAUCCGAAGUCGCCACACUAAGUUGGUGCCGAAGAUGAAACUCCUGAUUGGGACUAAGUCGUAACAAGUACCAAUCG